ACCAGACUCCUACGGGAGGCAGCAGUGGGGGAUAUUGCACAAUGGGGGGAACCCUGAUGCAGCGACGCCGCGUGGGUGAAGAAGCGCCUCGGCGCGUAAAGCCCUGUCAGCAGGGAAGAAAAUGACGGUACCUGAAGAAGAAGCCCCGGCUAACUACGUGCCAGCAGCCGCGGUAAUACGUAGGGGGCAAGCGUUAUCCGGAUUUACUGGGUGUAAAGGGGGCGCAGACGGCGAUGCAAGCCAGGAGUGAAAGCCCGGAGCCCAACCCCGGGACUGCUCUUGGAACUGCGUGGCUGGAGUGUAGGAGGGGCAGGCGGAAUUCCUGGUGUAGCGGUGAAAUGCGUAGAUAUCAGGAGGAACACCGGUGGCGAAGGCGGCCUGCUGGACUGCAACUGACGUUGAGGCCCGAAAGCGUGGGGAGCAAACAGGAUUAGAUACCCCCGUA
rnacentral:rRNA from 1 species